GAUCGGGGUUCCCGGUGUCCAGGGGCCUCGUGGAGAGCCAGGGGAGAAGGGAAAUAUAGGCCUAUCAGGACCUGAGGGACUAAAGGGAGAGGCUGGUGUUCAAGGGAUACAAGGGGUUGUCGGACCACGGG